AACGCACAUUGCACUCUCUGGUAUUCCGGAGAGUAUGCUUGUUUGAGUAUCUGUAAACAUCUCAAAUCUCUACUUUAUUGUAAAGAAUUGGACUUGAGCAAUCCCAACUCCUUCGUCAGAAAGAGAAGGGUUGCUUGAAAUGCAGGUGCAGCUGGACAUUCUUCUGAGCUAAAAGCAUAUUUAUUUAGUCCCGUCAAACGGAUUAUUAUUCUUGCUUCAGCUUAUAUAAAGGUUGAAUGACUACCAAGGCUGAUUGCAGGUAAACUCGUUCCGUAAAAAAGAACUUGUAAACUCGAUCUCAAAUCAAGUAAGACUACCCGCUGAACUUAA
rnacentral:misc_RNA from 3 species